UACUUUUGCCGGCGAGCGGCGGACGGGUGAGUAAUGCCUGGGAAAUUGCCCAGUCGAGGGGGAUAACAGUUGGAAACGACUGCUAAUACCGCAUACGCCCUACGGGGGAAAGCAGGGGACCUUCGGGCCUUGCGCGAUUGGAUAUGCCCAGGUGGGAUUAGCUAGUUGGUGAGGUAAUGGCUCACCAAGGCGACGAUCCCUAGCUGGUCUGAGAGGAUGAUCAGCCACACUGGAACUGAGACACGGUCCAGACUCCUACGGGAGGCAGCAGUGGGGAAUAUUGCACAAUGGGGGAAACCCUGAUGCAGCCAUGCCGCGUGUGUGAAGAAGGCCUUCGGGUUGUAAAGCACUUUCAGCGAGGAGGAAAGGUCAGUAGCUAAUACCUGCUGGCUGUGACGUUACUCGCAGAAGAAGCACCGGCUAACUCCGUGCCAGCAGCCGGCGGUAA
rnacentral:rRNA from 1 species